UACGUAGGGUGCAAGCGUUGUCCGGAAUUAUUGGGCGUAAAGGGCUCGUAGGCGGUCUGUCACGUCGGGAGUGAAAACUCAGGGCUUAACCCUGAGCCUGCUUCCGAUACGGGCAGACUAGAGGUAUGCAGGGGAGAACGGAAUUCCUGGUGUAGCGGUGAAAUGCGCAGAUAUCAGGAGGAACACCGGUGGCGAAGGCGGGUCUCUGGGCCGUAACUGACGCUGAGGAGCGAAAGCUAGGGGAGCGAAUGGG
rnacentral:rRNA from 1 species